rnacentral:rRNA from 1 species
UACGUAGGGGGCAAGCGUUGUCCGGAUUUAUUGGGCGUAAAGAGCGUGUAGGCGGCUAGAUAGGUCCGUUGUGAAAACUCGAGGCUCAACCUCGAGACGUCGAUGGAAACCAUCUGGCUAGAGUCCGGAAGAGGAGAGUGGAAUUCCUGGUGUAGCGGUGAAAUGCGCAGAUAUCAGGAAGAACACCCGUGGCGAAGGCGGCUCUCUGGUACGUGACUGACGCUGAGACGCGAAAGCCAGGGGAGCGAACAGG